AGAGUUUGAUCCUGGCUCAGGAUGAACGCUAGCGGCAGGCUUAACACAUGCAAGUCGAGGGGUAUAGUUCUUCGGAAUUAGAGACCGGCGCACGGGUGCGUAACGCGUAUGCAAUCUACCUUUCACAAAGGGAUAGCCCAGAGAAAUUUGGAUUAAUACCUUAUAGUAAUACGACUUGGCAUCAAGAUGUAUUUAAAGAUUUAUCGGUGAAAGAUGAGCAUGCGUCCCAUUAGCUAGUUGGUAAGGUAACGGCUUACCAAGGCAACGAUGGGUAGGGGUCCUGAGAGGGAGAUCCCCCACACUGGUACUGAGACACGGACCAGACUCCUACGGGAGGCAGCAGUGAGGAAUAUUGGACAAUGGGCGCAAGCCUGAUCCAGCCAUGCCGCGUGCAGGAUGACGGUCCUAUGGAUUGUAAACUGCUUUUAUACAGGAAGAAACACUACUUCGUGAAGUAGCUUGACGGUACUGUAAGAAUAAGGAUCGGCUAACUCCGUGCCAGCAGCCGCGGUAAUACGGAGGAUCCAAGCGUUAUCCGGAAUCAUUGGGUUUAAAGGGUCCGUAGGGCGGUCAGAUAAGUCAGUGGUGAAAGCCCAUCGCUCAACGGUGGAACGGCCAUUGAUACUGUCUGACUUGAAUUAUUAGGAAGUAACUAGAAUAUGUAGUGUAGCGGUGAAAUGCUUAGAGAUUACAUGGAAUACCAAUUGCGAAGGCAGGUUACUACUAAUUGAUUGACGCUGAUGGACGAAAGCGUGGGUAGCGAACAGGAUUAGAUACCCUGGUAGUCCACGCCGUAAACG
rnacentral:rRNA from 1 species